CCACCGUGCGCGGUGGUUCCGACGGUGGCUCCGGUGGGCUGUGGAGAUGAUUCAACUUCCAGAGGCUUCCUCGUAAAUUUUUGGAAUUUUUGAGACACAGAUAAACUUCGGGUGAUCGAGGUCAGCUAUUUUUCUGCAUCCAGCAGCCACAAUAGUCAUCGGUGUACUGCUACAGGAGGAGACAUUUUUCAGAAUAACCUGUCCCUUUCCUCUCAGGUUAUGAAAAGAUUACUUGAUUGUAUUAUUAUUCUCUAAAUUUGUAUUUUAGGACUCCGCAUGUACUAGUAGUAAUAUUAAUUCUGUCAGGGACUACAUGAAUUUAAGUUUUUGUAUUAAAAAAAUGAAAAUUUUUUUGAGUUUUAAAUAAUUUG